AUUGAACGCUGGCGGCAUGCCUUACACAUGCAAGUCGAACGGCAGCAUGGGUGCUUGCACCUGAUGGCGAGUGGCGAACGGGUGAGUAAUGCAUCGGAACGUACCCGGAAGUGGGGGAUAACGUAGCGAAAGUUACGCUAAUACCGCAUAUUCUGUGAGCAGGAAAGCAGGGGAUCGCAAGACCUUGCGCUGAUUGAGCGGCCGAUAUCAGAUUAGCUAGUUGGUGAGGUAAAGGCUCACCAAGGCGACGAUCUGUAGCGGGUCUGAGAGGAUGAUCCGCCACACUGGAACUGAGACACGGUCCAGACUCCUACGGGAGGCAGCAGUGGGGAAUUUUGGACAAUGGGCGCAAGCCUGAUCCAGCCAUGCCGCGUGAGUGAAGAAGGCCU
rnacentral:rRNA from 1 species